rnacentral:rRNA from 2 species
GACGAACGCUGGCGGCAUGCCUAAUACAUGCAAGUCGAACGAGCUUCCGUUGAAUGACGUGCUUGCACUGAUUUCAACAAUGAAGCGAGUGGCGAACUGGUGAGUAACACGUGGGRARUCUGCCCAGAAGCAGGGGAUAACACUUGGAAACAGGUGCUAAUACCGUAUAACAACAAAAUCCGCAUGGAUUUUGUUUGAAAGGUGGCUUCGGCUAUCACUUCUGGAUGAUCCCGCGGCGUAUUAGUUAGUUGGUGAGGUAAAGGCCCACCAAGACGAUGAUACGUAGCCGACCUGAGAGGGUAAUCGGCCACAUUGGGACUGAGACACGGCCCAAACUCCUACGGGAGGCAGCAGUAGGGAAUCUUCCACAAUGGACGAAAGUCUGAUGGAGCAAUGCCGCGUGAGUGAAGAAGGGUUUCGGCUCGUAAAACUCUGUUGUUAAAGAAGAACACCUUUGAGAGUAACUGUUCAAGGGUUGACGGUAUUUAACCAGAAAGCCACGGCUAACUACGUGCCAGCAGCCGCGGUAAUACGUAGGUGGCAAGCGUUGUCCGGAUUUAUUGGGCGUAAAGCGAGCGCAGGCGGUUUUUUAAGUCUGAUGUGAAAGCCUUCGGCUUAACCGGAGAAGUGCAUCGGAAACUGGGAGACUUGAGUGCAGAAGAGGACAGUGGAACUCCAUGUGUAGCGGUGGAAUGCGUAGAUAUAUGG